UGUGCUGGGCAGCGAGGGCCGGGUAAGCCCGUUACCUGCCGGGUAACCCCGGGGGGAGCCGUGGCAGGGCUGCGGGGCUGUUGCUUUCUGGGUGUCUCAGGGUUUGCCUCGGAAUCCCAAAGCCUUUCCCCGUGCAGGGUUAGGAGGCAAGGAGUGGUCUCAGUUUCUCGGUGCUGCAUUAAUGCUUUUUGCUCCUUCUCUGUGCAGUUGUGCCCUCCCUGGGGCUCAGCUCAGGUCCGUGCCCCGCGGCUGGUGGAGUGUGGCGAGUUGUGCUUCCUGCCGGGCGGGAGCUGCCUUGGGAAGCUGCUCUGUCCCCACGGCUGUGCCGAGCUGGGAGCUUGGGCAGCAGGAUGUCGAGUGCCACCGUGUCCCUGAGGUCACCCUUUCUCCUGUUGGGAGAGCACGAGGUGGAUGGAGAGGAUCCCCAGGCAUCUGCAGGCACAAGGGACUCGUACAGCUGUGAUUUUCCUACAGCCCUUGUGAGAUGGACUUUCAGGGUACCAUGGGUAAUGUGCCAGCUCUCCUGCUGGAGCUUUUGUCUGCUGUAUGUGAACACAAAGAGUAGAACUAAAGUCAGGAGAAAAUUGGGCAAGCGGGAAGGAAGAAGAGAAGCCCCGUGACUCCUCCCUGAGCCCCAGACAGCCCCUGAACUGCCUUCCUGGGAAUGGUGGGACGGGCUGGACUCUGGAUUGCUCCCUCUGGAUGUGUGUGGGAUGUAGCCUGGAAACUCCCAAGAGCUGAGCCAUGGGAUUUAAAGGGACCAACUAAAGGAGGUGAAGAAACAAGGAAGAAGGAACUGAGGCAUCAGCCAAGCAGCACGAAGUUGCUGUGUAAGCAGUGGGAUGGAGCCUGGAAACUCCCCAGAGCUGAGCCAAGGGAUUGAAAGGGACCAACCAAGGGAGGUGAAGAAAGAAGGAAGAAGGGAACUGAGGCAGCAGCCAAGCAGCACCAAGUUCCUGUGUAAGCAGGGAAUAACUCCUGUCAGCAGCAAGGUCCCGACUGAAGUGGCAGCUGCAGUUGUUCCUGUGGUGUGGGCCAGUGGAAUUGCAGGAGAGUGGAAGAGGGCAGAACCUGUAGGUAUUACCUAUAAUCUGGGAUCUCUCCUGGUUAAGGCCAAGCCAGUAUCCUUUAAAAUCAGAAUGCCAGACUGGAUUGGUUGCAGGAACAGCUAAAUUUGCUCCUCCUGGUUUGCUUGUAGGAGGUGAAUGCAAGAACCUGCCAAGAAAACCAAUGGCCAAGGAGAAAAUCUGGAAAGCAGGAAGGAAGCAAAGAAGCCCCGUGACUCCUCCCUGAGCCCCAGCCAGCCCCUGAACUGCCUUCCUGGGAAUGGUGGGACGGGCUGGACUCUGGAUUGCUCCCUCUGGAUGUGUGUGGGAUGGAGCCUGGAAACUCCCCAGAGCUGAGUCAUGGGUUUUAAAGGGACCAACUAAGGGAGGUGAAGAAAGAAGGAAGAAGGGAACUGAGGCAUCAGCCAAGCAGCACCAAGUCACUGUGUAAGCAGGAGAAAAUGGGGCAAGCGGGAAGGAAGAAGAGAAGCCCCGUGACUCCUCCCUGAGCCCCAGCCAGCCCCUGAACUGCCUUCCUGGGAAUGGUGGGACGGGCUGGACUCUGGAUUGCUCCCUCUGGAUGUGUGGUAAGACUGUUAGGGCAACUUUUCCAACAGCCUGUAAGAAUUUGCUGCCUUGUCUAGAUGGUGCAAGGGCAGCCUUUAAGCAGCUGGAGCCUUCCCUGAGGAGAGCUCUGGGUCUGCCAGAUGUGUCAGAACUGUUGGCAGCAUCUUUGGUGGGGAGGGCAAAGAAAGGCCAAGGUGUGCAGUGACCCCCCUGAGAAGGGACUUUGAGUUAAUGGCAUCCCUGCAAGUGAAUUUUGUGGGCUGUUCCCCCUGUAGUCUCAGCUACAAUGAUGGGAAAAAUAGUUAACAGAGAGCCCCAAAAGCUGGAAAUCCUGGAGGCUCUUGGCCAACAGAGUUUGCUGAGAUCCCCCCCGAAAGAAGGACAGUGUGAUAGCUCUUGAGUGCUGGUAGGUCCUUUGAAAAGACAGCCUUGAGUGUGUCCUUAUUGUACCAGUAGGCCUUGUCCAACUCCCCAUAUUCCAGGAGAUAUACCUAUUAAAGUUUCAAAUGCUCUUCCUAAUCCUUUGUUGGCUUGAGGCUCUCCCCUGCAGGAACUGCAGGAACUCCUGGUGCCGCCUGGGCCGAUGGAUUGGACGCCCCAGCCCCUCCGUUCCUGCCCAGCCCCUGGGGCCGUGUCCAGUGGUGGCACUGCCAGCCCUGCAGGGGAAGUGGGAAGGGCCUUUGCAGGUCUUGUGGAUCACAUUUAUUGCAGUGGGAUGUAGCCUGGAAACUCCCCAGAGCUGAGCCAAGGGAUUUAAAGGGACCAACCAAGGGAGGUGAAGAAAGAAGGAAGAAGGGAACUGAGGUGUCAGCCAAGCAGCACGAAGUGGCUGUGUAAGCAGGUGAGUUGUGUUGAGGUUCCUCAGGCAGGCCCUGAGGACUUUGAGGGCUCCAGACAGAGAAGACCUGGGAAGCCUCUAGAAAGCCCCUUGGAAACCUUAUAAGGGUAGGUGUGUAUGGUGAUAAGUGUUGGGAAAUGUCCUGAAUAUGGAACAGGAUUGCAGGGAAGGAAAAUGAAUCCUCCUAUAAUGCUGCCAUAUCAGCUGCAGUGGAGACACCUCUGUGUGCCCUUUGGGAGCUGAUUGCCAGGACACCCGUGGGGCUGGGAUCAUGGCAGGGUGUUGUAAGCAAGAAAUGCCUGGCUUCUAAAACUCACCAGCUGAGUCUUUGAAACUUCUUUGAAGAGCUGAUUUCAGGCAGCAGAAUUGGCCCCCAGGAGGGACUCUGUGCCUGCUCUCCCGUGGCUCCAAGGGAUCUCUGGCCCUUCACGCCGGCACCGAGAUUUUCUCGGGAAGGGCCUCAGAUCCCCGGACCAGUCUGGGACACAGGCAAGAUCCCCCUGCAGUUUAGGACCAAAUUGGGCCCCUGGAGGGACAGUGCUGUUGGUGCCCCCUGGGUUGGGGCACCCCGAGGACUCCAGCGCGCACCGAAAGGAUUAUUCGGGGAGAUCCUCGGGGUGCCCGGCCCUGGGGAGCUCAAAGCAAGGUCCCUGCCAUGGAUUCAGGCAUUGCUGAGAGUAUCCCAGGGGUCCCUGUCCCUGCUAGACAGGGAGCUCUCUAAUGGGCUGGAAUUGGGUGAUAAAAGUGGUGCUCCAAGUGCCAGAGAAGUGUGGGAUUGGGAUUAAGAACUGAGCAGUGAGGGUCCAAUUGGCUGUUUUCUCUGGAAUGUGACUGUGAGAGCUGCAGGAGUGCCAGGUGUGUGUUCCAGUCCCCCGCAUUUGGUUUGCACAUGUCCUGGUCAGACACAGGUCCAACCUCCUCAGUCCUUAACACAAUAGAAGGAGUGUAGCUCCUUGUUUUCCUGUGUCUUUGGUGAGGUGUUGACUCAGUACCUUUCUUGGAGCUGCUGUUGGAUGAAGAGAUGCCCUCAAUUCACCUCUAAGGGCCUGGUUUUCUUCCCUGCUUUCCCAACUUGUCCAGGAGAUGGAAUUCCAGUGCUACAGAACAGAUGGCUCAUGGUGCUCCCAGAAGGAGCCUUUGUCCCUCCAGGGACACUGAGCUGGUCCAGCUGCGGCAAGAAGAGCCCUGUUGCCUGAGUGCUCUCCAGCCCCCCAGGCUGGAUCCCAACUGUCAGCCCCUGGCUCCAUCCCUUGAGAAGAUGGUGUUCCUGCAAGCCCAGCUGCUGUGCUGGUGGUCCUGUGGGUACCUCCUG